rnacentral:misc_RNA from 1 species
GAUGAAGAACGUAGCGAAAUGCGAUACGUAAUGUGAAUUGCAGAAUUCAGUGAAUCAUCGAAUCUUUGAACGCACAUUGCGCCCGCCAGUAUUCUGGCGGGCAUGCCUGUUCGAGCGUCAUUUCAACCAUCAAGCCCCAGGCUUGUGUUGGGGACCUGCGGCUGCCGCAGGCCCUGAAAACCAGUGGCGGGCUCGCUGUCACACCGGGCGUAGUAGAUUUUAUCUCGCUCAGGGCGUGCUGCGGGUUCCGGCCGUUAAAAAGCCUUUUUUACCAAGGUUGACCUCGGAUCAGGUAGGAAGACCCGCUGAACUUAAGCAUAUCAAUAAGCGGAGGA